GACGAACGCUGGCGGCGUGCUUAACACAUGCAAGUCGAACGAUGAAGAAGAGAAACGCGAACUUCGGUUCAAAUUUCACUUCGGAUUAGUGGCAGACGGGUGAGUAACGCGUGAGCAACCUACCUCUUACAAAGGGAUAGCCUCGGGAAACCGUGAUUAAUACCAUAUGACACAUUCAUAAGGCACCUUAAGAAUGUUAAAGCUACGGCGGUAAGAGAUGGGCUCGCGUCCCAUUAGCUAGUUGGUGAGGUAACGGCCCACCAAGGCGACGAUGGGUAACCGGCCUGAGAGGGUGAACGGUCACAUUGGAACUGAGACACGGUCCAAACUCCUACGGGAGGCAGCAGUGGGGAAUAUUGCACAAUGGAGGGAACUCUGAUGCAGCGACGCCGCGUGAGCGAUGAAGGAAUUCGUUUCGUAAAGCUCUGUUCUAUGGGAAGAAAAGGACUGUACCAUAGGAGAAAGCCCCGGCUAAAUACGUG
rnacentral:rRNA from 1 species